UGUAUCUCAUUAUCUUAAAUUCAAAAUUUCAAUUUCUUCUCUCUCUCUCAGUCCUUUCUCUCAUUCUCUCUCUCUCUUCCUUUCUCACUUUCUCUCUCACGUUUCUUCUCUUCCCUUUCCUUUUUCUUUCUUUCUUCUUUACAAACCGAUGGUACUCUAUGAUACUCUUGGAGCAAUUCUGGUAUGUCCACGGGAACUUACGGAGCUUCGAAACUACUUGUAGUUAUUAUAUGUCACUCUUCAUGUUAGGGUUUGUGGUGAAUUUUGUGCAGGGAGGAUUUGGAGUAUAUAAAGGGUUUUGGUUUUGUGGCUAGGGUUCAAUAACGGGAAAAUUACGGUUUUAAUUUUAUAGAUUUAUCAUCGGUGUUCGGUCGAAGAGGUUGCCGGUUUGAACAUUGUUGCUGUUUUAUUGUUAUAGUGUCCACAAAAUCAAUGUUUUGUUGUUGUUGGUCGUAAACAAGCAUCUUUGAAAUUGCCUUUAAUGGUGGGAACAUAUUCGGUGUCGGCUUUGCUUCGUCAAGUGCAGGUUUGAUGCUUAUAGGACUGCCAUUGUGAAGACUGAAAAACAAUGUAUGUGGAAAGCUGUCGGAGAACUCCAUGUCUCAGGUUUUGGCAAGUCUCAAACAGCUCAUUGGAAUUGAAUUGAUAAGCACUGAUUGAGCACUGAUAUCUCUUUAAAUGAUUCUCAAGUCUAAAUGAUUCUGAAGUUUCUGCAUACAGAAGACAGAUUUUAAAUGGCUUGAAGUAUAUUCAUGAAAAUGAUGUAGUCCAUAGGUAACAGAUUUGCCAAUAUUAAAGUGGAGACGAAAUCGAAGUGUCGCCGAAAAAUUGCUCCUCACCAAUCUCAACAGAGUAUCGUCCGAGGAGACUUUAAAAAAACAUGUGUAUAGUUUUGUUGCACAAACUUGAUCAUUAAGCUUAGCACUAGAACCAUAAUGUCAUAAUUUGAUUUAUUUGUAACAGGUGAGCUUAGGCGGUCAAGAAAUAAUUGAAGGUCAUUUGUUGGCCGCACUGACAGUACUCAUCGCAACUGAUAUGGAAACUGUACAACAAUUGGUGUUUCCGGUGUUGGUAUUGUAAUGGCAGCAUAUGGAGCUUUUGGUGGAAUAGUAAGUAUUGCUAUUGAAUGCAAAACAGUAGUCCCUUGAGUGGUGUUUCAAAAGUGACUUGAUUACGUCAUGCUUGCGAGCAUUUCUUUCUUAUUUUCUUCUUAUAUCUGUUUUUCUUUGGCCAUUAUUCUUUAAAUAUACCGUAACUGUUUUCUAGCCGCUGGUCGUCUCACUUCUGGUCUCACAUCCAUUACAUCAAUAGUUUCUUUUAGAGCUUUUGUUCAAACUCUUGCACUAAUAUUACUUCGGUUAAAUUUCAAGUUUGCAAUAUUCCUUAUGUUUGGCUGAUGUUUAUGGAUAUUAUUUUCCCCAUGUAAUUUCAUUUCGCUUAUAAUUUUGUUGGCACUCCUGAUGCACAACAUAUCUACGAACAUAUUACUAUUCUAUAUACCAGGUUCUGAUUAAUCCAUCUGGGAAAGACAAGAAUAUGGGAGAGGAUUUCAUACUUGAAACUCUAACUUUUUGUUUCUGUAAAAAAAUUAAGUCUUUAAUAUAAAAAACACUUAAUGCUCUUUGUUGACAACUAUGGAAUUUCUUGAAUCUGGAGGAGAAAGGCAUGGCAACAAGGGCUACUAUAUUCAGCCUACCCAGUGAUUUUUCAUUAAUCAGUUGAUUUUUCAUUAUUACUUUUCUACACAUUUG